rnacentral:rRNA from 1 species
AAGACCCGUGCCCACAGUUGCCAGCAUACCCUCCGGGGUGAUGGGCACACUGUGGGGACCGCCGCUGCUAAAGCGGAGGAAGGUGCGGGCUACGGUAGGUCAGUAUGCCCCGAAUCAUCCGGGCUACACGCGGGCUACAAUGGUUGGGACAAUGGGCACCUACACCGAAAGGUGAUGGUAAUCUCCUAAACCCAGCCYUAGUUCGGAUUGAGGGCUGCAACUCGCCCUCAUGAAGCCGGAAUCCGUAGUAAUCGCGUAUCAAUAUCACGCGGUGAAUAC